AUACGGAGGGUGCAAGCGUUGUUCGGAAUCACUGGGCGUAAAGGGCGCGCAGGCGGUUUUACAAGUCAGAUGUGAAAGCCCACGGCUUAACCGUGGAAGUGCAUUUGAAACUGUAAGACUUGAGUAUCAGAGGGGAAGGUGGAAUUCCCGGUGUAGAGGUGAAAUUCGUAGAUAGCGGGAGGAAUACCGGUGGCGAAGGCGACUUUCUGGCUGAAUACUGACGCUGAGGCGCGAAAGCGAGGGGAGCAAACAGGAUUAGAUACCCUAGUAGUCC
rnacentral:rRNA from 1 species